rnacentral:misc_RNA from 1 species
GCAAACUUGGUCAUUUAGAGGAAGUAAAAGUCGUAACAAGGUUUCCGUAGGUGAACCUGCGGAAGGAUCAUUACAAAAGAUUGGUAUGCCUCGCGCAUGUCGCUCUUUAAACCCACACCUGAGUACCUUUCCUGUUGCUUCCGCGGAGCGGGCUCGCGUUUAUCGCGCGGUCCGCCGAUGGGGGUGAAACAUCCCUCAUCGGAGAGCCUCCGCGGGAGGUACACAUCAAACCCUUUUGCAUUGCCAUGUCGUCUGUCUGAUACUGUUUAUAACAAAUGUUAAAACUUUCAACAACGGAUCUCUUGGUUCUCGCAUCGAUGAAGAACGCAGC